CCCGCUGAACUUAAGCAUAUCAAUAAGCGGAGGAAAAGAAACCAACAGGGAUUGCCUCAGUAACGGCGAGUGAAGCGGCAAUAGCUCAAAUUUGAAAUUUGGCUCUCUUUAGGGUCCGAAUUGUAAUUUGUAGAGGAUGCUUCGGUACUGGACUCGGUCAAAGUUCCUUGGAACAGGACGUCAGAGAGGGUGAGAAUCCCGUUUGUGACUGAUGUGUUCGGUGCUUUAUGUGAAGCUCCUUCGACGAGUCGAGUUGUUUGGGAAUGCAGCUCUAAAUGGGUGGUAAAUUUCAUCUAAAGCUAAAUAUUGGCCAGAGACCGAUAGCGCACAAGUAGAGUGAUCGAAAGAUGAAAAGCACUUUGGAAAGAGAGUUAAACAGUACGUGAAAUUGUUGAAAGGGAAGCGCUUGCAAUCAGACUUGCUUGAAGUUGAUCAUCUAGUGGUUGCACUGGUGCACUCGAUUUCAAUCAGGCCAGCAUCAGUUUGGGCGGUUGGAUAAAGGCCGGGGGAAUGUAGCUCUCUUCGGGGAGUGUUAUAGCCCUGGGCGCAAUGCAACCUGCCCGGACUGAGGACCGCGCUUCGAGCUAGGAUGCUGGCGUAAUGGUUGUAAGCGACCCGUCUUGAAACACGG
rnacentral:rRNA from 1 species